AGCUGAUCGCUAAGUUAAGAGCUGUCUGGUGCCUUUCCGAACGGUAGGUGCGCGUGAAAAUUUCCCGAUUUUUUGUUGUUCUAAAGUGAUUCACUUGAUUGGAUUAAGUGAUAUUUGAGUGAUUUAGAAAUACGGCGAAGCUGUGAAUGAAGGGACAAAUAAGACCAAUCUUCGGAACUUCGUGAGCGUGACUAGAAAAAUUUGAUCGAAAAAGAAUACGUGAGUCAAAAACAAACGAGACCGGUAGCAUCGACAGUAUAUUGGCAACAUAGUAUAUUAGUUUGCACGCUGAAACGAGGAUUCUUCGCUGCGCUAUGCAACUUCUCCGAAUUGCGGUGCUAGCGACGGUGAUCGCUGUCUCGCUGGCUUUUCCGAUGCCGCAAGACUCAGUGAAGGCCGAAAUCGCACCAGUAGUGGAACAGAACCCGGUCCCCGUUGUGGCUGCAGGGCCCACAAAGAAGGUGACCGAACAGAAAGACGAAGAAGUUUUGGAGACUGAGAAGAUCGUAAUCAAUGUUGAAGUUAAAGCUGUACCGACAACUUCCAAGAUACCGGCCACUCUAGAGAUUACAGAAAUUCAUGAACAAAAGGAAAAACCAAUAGAAACUGUCAAAGUUGCAGACAUCAAAGCAGAGCCGGUGAUAGCAGCUGUUGUCCCAAAAACAGCUGUCUAUGUAGUAAAGAAAGCAGAAAGUGAUCCCGAAGUUGAAAAAUCUACUCCAGUAAUUGUUGAUCAAACUGUUGAUGCAUCCUCGGUUAUUGACGCGUCAGUUCCCAAGAAAGUAGCAAUUGUUUCACAACCGGUGGAAACUAAACCGGAAGAAAAGCAGGAGGAGAAAGUUGUUCCGGUUGUGACCGAUACUGCAGGAGACGAUAGUAAAAUAUCGGAUGAAUCUACUUCACGCCAAGAAGAUAGUGCUAUUCCCGAAAAACCAAUUGAAUCAGUUCCUGUUCUUACCUUUGCUAAAGCAGUCGAAGAAUCGUUGAAGAGCGAUCAAGUGAUCAAUCAGGAUACGGAGGUCAAGGAGGAAUUGAGAAGUGCUACUGACGAGAAAAUUGUUCCAAUUGUUGAAGAAUUACCCAAGGAAUAUACGAAAGUUGAAGCAGAGCCUGCUUAUAAGACAAUUCCAGUUGCAGUGGUUGAGGAUGAACCAAAGAUUGAAGAAGCCAUAAUUAAAACUGUAGAGCAGCCCGAGCCAGCUAAAACAAUUGUUGAGGAACCAAAAGUUAUCGAAGAAAAUAAAGAAACGAAAUCAGUUGUAAAAGCGAAUGAGCCCGAACCAGUAGAACUAAAAGACAUUGAUUCCGUAAAACAGACACCCGUUGUCAAAUCUACAGAACAACAAACAGAAAAGUUGGCUGACAAUCCGGCCAAAUUGGAUAUAGUUCUUUCAGAAUCGGCCGUUGAUAAGCGUGACAGCGUCAAAUCAGACAAAGAGGAACCCAAAGUGUUCAUUGUUGAAGCAAAGCCAGAGGUAAAAGUUGAGGAUGUUUCAAAAGUUGAACAAAACGUAGCUCCAGUGGUUGUGGUAAAAGCAGCUCCGAUUGCAGCCGUGGCUACCGUUGAAAAAAUUCCAGAUACUCAAAAAUUAUCGGAACCCAUUGUGGAAAAUCCUGUAACGGAAACUAAAGUUAAAGCUGAACCUGCUGAACAGGUCGAUGGGAGUUCAAUCAAAGCUAGCACCAAAAGUGAAGUCCCAACGAAACAAGUUGAAGAUAAGAGUGACGGUGACAGUUCUGCCGCUAAAUCAUCCGAAGAAGUUAAGAAGUUGACAGUCGAACAAGAAAAAAUAAUCGAAACGCCUACUGCUGAAACUACCCCAGUCCCAGUCAAACCCGAAAGCAAAAGCAAGGGAAAAAAGAAGUUGCCAGGUUCGAACAAAAAACAAAAUACAAUGUAAAUGAGAAGAAUUGAUUCGAUUGUGGUAUCCUUGCUGUUUAUUUUCUUGCUAACAAGUAAUCCUAAGAGCUAACAUUCGAGGGUAUCGGAAGCGUCUACAACAAGAACAGCAUAAAGCGUAACCAUCAAGGAGCAUUUGGGAACUCUUGGCAAAAUUAUUAACCUAUUGCUGAAUGUAAUUCUAAUAAGUUUGCCAAUAGACACGUUGUUGAUCCUGUAGACGGGAUUGAUCUUCGUUUUAAGGCUUACCUUUUAGGCUCUUAGGUUAAGUUGAUCCUACGUAAUAAGCUAAGUGCAUUUGAGUUUUUGAUGUCAUGAAUGGCCCGAUCAAAACAAAGUAGUAACACUACAACAUAAUACCUUUUUUGAAACAAAGUGUAUCAUAAAAAGCACAUUUAUUGGAUGAAAUAAGGCCAAUUUAGAUCUUGAAAACUGUAAGUUGUUACUAUAUUAUGUUGAUUGGGUCUUACUGGCGGAUUAAAUGCAUUCGUACUAUCAAUCUAUACGGCCAAUACGAAUUAUCAUGUAACAUUCUGUUUAGGCUAAUUUAAGUGAAACGAAAUACAGCUCGAUAAUGAAUAAGA